UACGGGGGGGGGCAAGCGUUGUUCGGAAUUACUGGGCGUAAAGGGUUUGUAGGUGGCCCGCUAAGUCACACGUGAAAUCCCUCAGCUUAACUGGGGAACUGCGUGUGAGACUGGCAGGCUCGAGGGCAGGAGAGGAACGCGGAAUUCCAGGUGUAGCGGUGAAAUGCGUAGAUAUCAAGAGGAACACCAGCGGCGAAGGCGGCGCUCUGGGCUGGAACUGACGCUGAGGAGCGAAAGCGUGGGGAGCGAACAGG
rnacentral:rRNA from 1 species